GACGAACCGAGCGAACGUUGUUCGGAAUCACUGGGCUUAAAGGGCGCGUAGGCGGGCUGCCAAGUUUGGGGUGAAAUCCUCCGGCUCAACCGGGGAAGUGCCUUGAAUACUGGCGGUCUGGAGGGAGGUAGGGGCGUGCGGAACUGUAGGUGGAGCGGUGAAAUGCGUUGAUAUCUACAGGAACUCCGGUGGCGAAGGCGGCACGCUGGACCUUUUCUGACGCUGAGGCGCGAAAGCUAGGGGAGCAAACAGG
rnacentral:rRNA from 1 species